GAGUUUGAUCAUGGCUCAGGACGAACGCUGGCGGCGUGCCUAAUACAUGCAAGUCGAGCGGACCUUUCGGGGUCAGCGGCGGACGGGUGAGUAACACGUGGGCAAUCUGCCCGAUACUCUGGGAUAACGCUUGGAAACGAGUGCUAAUACCGGAUGGUCUUCUUGGUCGCAUGGCCGAGAAGGAAAAGACGCGUUCGCGUCGGUGUCGGAUGAGCCCGCGGCGCAUUAGCUAGUUGGUGAGGUAACGGCCCACCAAGGUGACGAUGCGUAGCCGACCUGCGAGGGUGACCGGCCACACUGGGACUGAGACACGGCCCAGACUCCUACGGGAGGCAGCAGUAGGGAAUCUUCCACAAUGGGCGAAAGCCUGAUGGAGCAACGCCGCGUGAGUGAUGAAGGCCUUCGGGUUGUAAAACUCUGUCAUUCGGGACGAACCGGAGUCUGAGGAAAUGCAGACUCUCUGACGGUACCGGAGGAGGAAGCCCCGGCUAACUACGUGCCAGCAGCCGCGGUAAUACGUAGGGGGCAAGCGUUGUCCGGAUUCACUGGGCGUAAAGCGCGCGCAGGCGGU
rnacentral:rRNA from 1 species